rnacentral:rRNA from 1 species
UCAAAGAGGGGGACAACAGUUGGAAACGACUGCUAAUACCGCAUAAGCCCACGGGUCGGCAUCGACCAGAGGGAAAAGGAGCAAUCCGCUUUGAGAUGGCCUCGCGUCCGAUUAGCUAGUUGGUGAGGUAACGGCCCACCAAGGCAACGAUCGGUAGCCGGACUGAGAGGUUGAACGGCCACAUUGGGACUGAGACACGGCCCAGACUCCUACGGGAGGCAGCAGUGGGGAAUAUUGCACAAUGGGGGAAACCCUGAUGCAGCGACGCCGCGUGGAGGAAGAAGGUCUUCGGAUUGUAAACUCCUGUUGUUGGGGAAGAUAAUGACGGUACCCAACAAGGAAGUGACGGCUAACUACGUGCCAGCAGCCGCGGUAAAACGUAGGUCACAAGCGUUGUCCGGAAUUACUGGGUGUAAAGGGAGCGCAGGCGGGAAGACAAGUUGGAAGUGAAAUCUAUGGGCUCAACCCAUAAACUGCUUUCAAAACUGUUUUUCUUGAGUAGUGCAGAGGUAGGCGGAAUUCCCGGUGUAGCGGUGGAAUGCGUAGAUAUCGGGAGGAACACCAGUGGCGAAGGCGGCCUACUGGGCACCAACUGACGCUGAGGCUCGAAAGUGUGGGUAGCAAACAGGAUUAGAUACCCUGGUAGUCCACACCGUAAACGAUGAUUACUAGGUGUUGGAGGAUUGACCCCUUCAGUGCCGCAGUUAACACAAUAAGUAAUCCACCUGGGGAGUACGACCGCAAGGUUGAAACUCAAAGGAAUUGACGGGGGCCCGCACAAGCAGUGGAGUAUGUGGUUUAAUUCGACGCAACGCGAAGAACCUUACCAAGUCUUGACAUCCCUUGACAGGCAUAGAAAUAUGUUUUCUCUUCGGAGCAAGGAGACAGGUGGUGCAUGGUUGUCGUCAGCUCGUGUCGUGAGAUGUUGGGUUAAG